AAUAUUGGACAAUGGGGGCAACCCUGAUCCAGCCAUGCCGCGUGUGUGAAGAAGGUCUUCGGAUUGUAGAGCACUUUAAGUUGGGGGGAAGUGCUUUGGGUUAGUACCCUGAAGUUUUGACGUUACCAACAGAAUAAGCACCGGCUCACUCUGUGCCAGCCGCCGCGGUAAUACAGAGGGUGCAAGCGUUAAUCGGGAUUACUGGGCGUAAAGCGCGCGUAGGUUGUUCAGUAAGAUGGGUGUGAAAUCCCCGGGCUUAACCUGGGAACUGCUUUCAUAACUGCUGAGCUAGAGUACGGUAGAGGGUAGUGGAAUUUCCUGUGUAGCGGUGAAAUGCGUAGAUAUAGGAAGGAACACCAGUGGCGAAGGCGACUACCUGGACUGAUACUGACACUGAGGUGCGAAAGCGUGGGGAGCAAACA
rnacentral:rRNA from 1 species